GAAAGAGAAAAGUAGGAGAGCAGACUUGCAGAGAAAUGGGGAAGAAAGAAGAGAAAAAGAAAAUGAAAGAAAAUAGGCGGCAAAGGGGUUUGGGUAGGGGUUUUUAUUUUUGUUUUUUGAUUUUGAUUUUGAUUUUUUAUUAUUAUUUUUUAAUUUUAAAAUCCUAAUUUUUAUUUUUGUAAUGUUUUUUUUUAUUUUAAUCCUAUAUUUUAUUUUAAUUAAUGUAAUGUUGGAAUUUAGUUUUAAUGAAAUGUUAAAUUUUAAAAUAGAAGAUUAAAAAUGGGAUUAAGUGGAAAUGAAGAUUAUAGCGCCUCUUAUAGAGUCACUGCACUGGAAAUGGGAGGCGCUAAGGUGAGGAACACCUUAUCGCGCCUCCCCACUGAAGAUGCUCUAAGGAGAUGCGAUACAUAUUUUAAUAAAAGUUAGUUCUAUAUUUGAUAAAAU
rnacentral:lncRNA from 1 species